UUCUAGGUUCAAGUUAGCUUCCGGAACUUGUGGGCUCAAGCUAUUGAGCAUAUAUGGGUAUGGUGUAGGUUAAGUGGGUGUUUAUGCAUUGGAAUUGAAUUGGGAUUACUUGGAGGUUUGUUGGUGACCAAGGCUUGUUUUGGGCUGUUUGAUUGAGCUUGGAGGGGCUGUAAUUUUGAGUUGUGAGGCUGCCUUGGGUGAACUAAGUGAUCGGCCAAGAUGCAGGUCGAGAGGCUCCUCGCUAGGCGUCUGGAUCUUGAAGCGAAGUAGUUCAUGGAUGUCUUUUGGGUUUCUGUUCAUAUGUGCGUAUAUAUGUAUUUAGCUUACUCUCCAAGUAACUUAUGUAUGCUGCUCCUCGAGGUU